GUGCUCACUUCGGCAGCACAUAUACUAAAAUUGGAAGGAUACAGAGAGAUUAGCACGGCCCCUGUGCCAGAAUGACACGUGAAUUUGUGAAGCAUUCCACAUUUUU